rnacentral:lncRNA from 1 species
ACAUCAAAUUCUUUAGUGUCAUCCUCAGUUUCUUCACCUAAAUAUUUAUCUAACUCUGUUUUGGUAUCAACACCCCCACUCCCACUUUUAUGUUUUCUUAUAUCUUGCAUGAGUGAUUCUAAUAGUCCUAUAUUUUGGGUGCUUGCUUGACUGCCAGAAACCCCAGAAGCCGCUGGGUCCAAUGUAGAACAAUCUGAAGAUAAAGAAAGCACAACACCUUUUGAGCUGGACUUUACAUACUCACUGAAUAAUGAAGUCAUGUACUUCGUCACUUCUGCUUGUAUAGUUGCCCCCGGAUCUACACCAAACAUCUUUACAAGUGCAAGGCCAACUGAUUCAAUCUUGUAACGUGGAUCCAAAAUAGAUGAGAUNN